rnacentral:misc_RNA from 1 species
GAAAAUCUCAGGUUCAGUGUGUGCGCGAAUCAGUUUCUGACUUUACGCAAAGUUGCCCUUGCAAAACGCUAAUCAGCAUGAAGAGAAUCGCGUUUCUCGUUUUCGUCUUCGCUGCUUCCGCAAUUGCCGAAGAUGCAAAGGAAUUAAAAGAAAUGGCAGAAAAUUUCGAGUCUGACGUGCAAACUGUGCAGUUGUGCCUAGACGAAGCGGAAACUACAGAAUCGGAAAUGAAGGCUAUAAAAGAGAAGAUCGACAAAUUGGACACACUGGAUGAUAACAUUGACGAUGAAACUAAGAAAUCUUUGGAAAAGACCAAUAGAUUCAUAGCCUGCAUGUUGGAGAAGAAAGAAAUGAUGGUAGACUCGAAAUUGAAUGUGGAUAAAAUACUGGAAGCUAUAGAGAAGGAUAGUAAAUACCACGUUAAGCAGGACGAAGUAAAGGAAUGCCUGAAUACACUAAACAAUGACAAAGAACUGGAUCGGGAAAUGAGGGCGAUGGGGAUGAUGAUAUGCUUAAUAAAAAACGAGAAAGACGAAGAUGAGAAGAAGUAAAGAGAAGUGUCGAUACGACGUUGCAUCUAUCUGGACCGGAAAUCGCGUGGGGCAAUGGGCAUCAAACAAACAAUACAUAAAAAUGGAACAACAUGUUGAUGAAGAAGUAUCAUUCGCACAUUACACGAGGUUAUUACCAAGAAAUCGUUAACUCGGAUUUUAAAAGGGAAAACCCCGAUGAUUAAUUUUCUUAAGAUGAUAACCUAUGUAUGCUGCGACGUCGACCCUCACGUUCAUUUUCUUCCGAUAAUAAAAUGUAAUUCGUAGAUUCGAUUGUUAAUAACACAUCAAUAGACGAUAAUCGAGAUA